GGAACAGCAGUCCCUGCAGGAGGGAGGGGGUCGGUGUAAACAGGUAUUGCCCCCCACCUUCAUAUCUUGGGGCGCUACGUACCCGCGGGGGCAAGACAUGCGUCGCUUCCCGCUGCCCAGCCUCGCUGCCACCCGCGCCUGGAGAGGAGGGAUUGCGGAUCCCACACCUGCAAACUCACCCUAGAAGUCUCAAGGUGGCCUCAGCCCCUGUCCGGGGACCCGUGCCAAUGACCCUAGUGGUGGUUUCGCUUUCUCCCCUCUCGGCUGUGUGAACGUGUAUCCGCAGCGUGAUGGGCAACCAGGUGGAGAAACUGACCCACCUAAGUUAUAAGGAAGUUCCCACGGCCGACCCGACUGGCGUGGACCGUGACGACGGGCCUCGCAUCGGGGUCUCCUACAUUUUCUCCAACGACGAUGAGGACGUGGAGCCGCAGCCGCCGCCCCAGGGGCCGGAUGGCGGCGGCGGCGACGGCUUGCCCGACGGCGGCGACGGACCGCCACUGCCGCCGCCGCAGCCGUACGACCCGCGGCUGCACGAAGUGGAGUGUUCCGUGUUCUACCGCGACGAGUGCAUCUACCAGAAGAGCUUCUCGCCGGGCUCCGCGGCGCUGAGCACCUACACGCCCGAGAACCUGCUCAACAAGUGCAGGCCUGGCGACCUGGUGGAGUUCGUGUCGCAGGCGCAGUACCCGCACUGGGCUGUAUACGUGGGCAACUUCCAGGUGGUGCACUUGCACCGGCUGGAAGUGAGCAACAGUUUCCUGACCGACGCGAGCCAGGGCCGGCGCGGCCGCGUGGUGAACGACCUGUACCGCUACAAGCCACUAAGCCCGGGCGCCGUGGUGCGCAACGCGCUGGCACACGUGGGCGCCAAGGAGCGCGAGCUGAGCUGGCGCAACUCCGAGAGCUUCGCCGCCUGGUGCCGCUACGGCAAGCGCGAGUUCAAGAUUGGCGGUGAGCUGCGCAUCGGCAAGCAGCCUUACCGGCUGCAGAUCCAGCUCUCGGCGCAGCGCAGCCACACGCUCGAGUUCCAGAGCCUGGAGGACCUGAUCAUGGAGAAACGGCGCAACGACCAGAUCGGGCGCGCGGCGGUGCUGCAGGAGCUCGCCAUGCACCUACAUCCGGCCGAGCCGGACGAGGGCGACAGCGAUGCGGCGCGGACUACGCCGCCUCCCGGGCGCCCCCCUGCGCCCGGACGGGAGGAAGAGGCCCGAGAGGCGGCGGUGCACUGAGGCGCGAGCCGAGUGCUGAGCCUUGAGAGGGAGCCGUUCGCCGCGGCCGCCACCCCCUCCCUCCUCUCACUCCCUCCUCCAGCACCUUCGGGGCCCCAUCUGGGCUCCUGGGCCCUUUGGGAAAAGGAGAGGUGGCGAAUUGCGCAGCCAGCUGUGGCUUGAGCUUUUAUCUUGGACGGAGGAGGAAGAGGGAGCAGAAAUUCCAACCAGAAGCCAAGAACUUCAAAGCUGGACUCCCGCCCUCUUUUGGAGCAAGCAGCAGCAUCUCAGGCAAAGUGAAGGGAGUGGCUUCAGUCUUGUUCCUGGGAGAAGACAUGCCCUUCAGGUUAGUCACAGUCAAGGCGAGUUUCAUGGAGAGGCUCCUGAUGUCACGUGUGGGUAUAAGGAAACCCUGAGGGCCAGUACCAGGGCUGAUAAGAACAAGGUUCCUUUGCAUCCCCAGGUCCAAGGGAAAGAGGGGCAGAGUGGCAUAUCGAACAGAAACAGAGAGGGCCUGACCAGUAUGGAGAAAGCUGCCUGACAUGAGACAGACCCAAAGAGGAAGGAGGUGGCCGUCUCCAGGUGUGACUCAGAAUAAACACCCCACCUCACAUUCCUCCCUCUUCUGCUGGUGUUGAUAAUUAGCCAAAGCCUACAAGAAGCCGAAUGGCAAGAGAACCCAUUGAUGAGUUCCUCCAGACGGCCUCCUGGGGCACAGAGAAGAAUGGAGAGAGGAUCUGGGCCAGUCACUUGCACACGCCCAGCACAAAGGCCACGGGGACCACAUGUCAUCGAGUGUUCAUACGGCAAUCUAAGACUUUUUCAAUUAAAUGGCAAAGUAGCGUACAACGAUAAUUACUUUGCUCUGAUAAUUCAGUCACUACUUUGAGUCACCCUGUAAGGGAUUUAUUAUUAUUAACUCCCCAGAAACCAAGGCAGACAGCGAUUAAUUACUGCUCCAAUAUAGCUAGAAAGACUUCUGAGAAAAAGUUUGUAAGAUGCCUCUGUUCAGUCCUUGCUUAUAACCACUACACUCUACAAACUUAUUCUACCCUCUCCUUGGGCACUUUCUCAGAGCCAGAGGCUUCUUCAACACCCUAAGGAGCCUUUAUGACCUGGUUCCUUGACUUCCCCUCCUCUCCAAAAGUUGUCUGAGUCACUGGUCACAGGAUUCAGAAACCGGGUCCAGGCGCUAACAGGCAAGACCGGACCCGGUGAAGGCCCGCGGUUGAGCAGCUCGUGGUGGACAGACAGGGCCACAGAACAGUGACCAGGGAACCAGCAGAAAGGAACAUAGAGACCAGAUGCAGACUUUCACCUGGAGCCUGAAGGUCAGGCCCAGAGGAAAAGCGAUAAGGAACAUAAAGGUUAUACAUGAGGUUGGCACCAUUCCUCAAGAAAUGGGUGAAAGAGGAGAGUGACACAUUGCUUUAGUGCAACCACGGCAGCCACGAUUUGUAUAGUGCUUUAGUGGUUAAGACAGAUUCCCAAAUAUUUCAGCAGCCGAUAGUUUCCUUUACUAGACUGUGGGCUUCCUGAGGAUGGUGGCUUGUCAUUUUGGUGUCCCUACAACCCAGCAAGGCAUCUGACACUUAGUAGCUACCACCCGCAAAUCCAUUUGUUAAAUCAGUCUUUGGAAACAGAGCAAAUAAUGGAACCCUGAGGGUUUUGGUAGCCAAUGACAUCAGGAACAUCAUUCUGGUGCUAUUGAUCUUUGAGUGAAGUGAGAGUCCCUGGGGAGGCCAUCGAGUCUUUGGGAGCCUGAGUGUGCUCACACAUGAAAGGACAACUAAACGUCCCUACAUUUGCAGGAUUUCUGGGAAGUUGUACACACACACACACACACACACACACACACGCACACGCGCACACUCAAUACUGUUUUUGCAUCUGGCAAGGUAACCAUGAUGAUAUGAUGACAGUGACCGUGAUAACGAGGACGCAACCUCCCUUGGGGAAACGUUUCGCUACCUCCAUUAUUUGAACGAAUUUGCUUCCAGACAGUCCCGUCUAAACAACAAACAGGUCUUAAGCUUCCCACUUGAGAAAAAAGCCGACGAAGAAAGCUGUGCAGGUAGCAAGGUGACCUGUUAUUAAAUCAACACAACGGAGCAGGCUUCUCACCCCACGUGUAAGGGUUACGAAGGAAGGUUUAAAAGCCGCCCCUCCUCGUCCUCUCUGAGGUAAAAGCUCUUGCUGCAGGGGUUUGAUGAGCCUUCCUAAGGCCGGGGUGACACCAGGUCACGAGAUGGUGCUUAAGUAGUUCGUCUCUGGGUUAGUUGUGAUUUUUUUUUUCUUUAUCUUUGUUUUGUUUUGUUUUUCCAGUCAGCUUUCUCAGCCUGUAAAAGUUCGAGUCUUUUUGCCUCCAUCAUUCUCACCACGAGAGUCUCAUACCUUGCUCUCGUUCCCAUGCUUCCCACCCCUCAUUCCACCAAAAGCAGUGUGUUUAGUGGUAAUAUCGGUGAAGACAGCAUUUAACAGACAAAAUGGCGGACCGACUCCCCCUGGCUCUCUGUAUCAGCUCCCUCGCGGACACCCACCUGAGGUCUGACAAGGAGGGACUCUCUCUACAGGGACUCUCCCUAUCUGUGUUCACUGUGUUUCUAACAUGAGCUCAUCAGUCUCCUCUGCAACCUGGGUGCUGGAGGAGGAGAGAGGAGGCAGGAAUGAGGGGCCAUAAAAUACGAGGCAUUUGGCAGCUUUCUUUCAAGGUGUUAUUAGCUAAACAUUAAAACAAAAUGUUCUCAUUAAAUUCAGCAGCUGAGGAUGUUACUUGGUUCCUGUGCAUUAUGGCGAUCCAUAUAACAUGAAUCACAGUCAGGAAUGCAAGCUGGACUUGAAGCAAACUUCCCUGAAAUGUGUAGCACUGGUAAACAUUGCUGUUUGCUGCAUGAAAGUGCCUGGGGAAGGCUCAGCCGAGGACUUCCCAUAGGGCACAUUUCAGUAGCAUUGAUCCAAGUGACCUUGUCCUCUCUUCUCCUGCACUACUUGGAAGGGGAACCAUGUUGGAUUCAUCGAUCCUCUGGUUCUCUCCCACUUGAAUGAGUGCAGGAAUCUCAGCCUGGAGUUCACUGAUGUGCAAAGAUCUAUACAUAGUGUUCAUGAACCUUCUGAUACUUAGACCAAUUUUGUAUCUCUGUCUUCCAUGGGCUUCUCUUUCUGAGAAAAAUUUCCAAGUCUUUCAGGAGAAUCCCAUGGUUGUGCACAUCCUCCAAAACAUUAAGAACCACUAACAUGGAGGGUUAGUUGAAACAUUCUGUAAACUGUACAAAGUAUAUUUUAGGCAAAAAAGAGAGGGGAAGAAACUCCCUUUUUCCUUGGCUUACAGGAGUCUUACUCUUGUCGCAAGACCCAUGCACAGAGACGGUGGUGGGCAUGGCGAAGGAGUAGUGGGAGUUGAAGCUCAGUUGUAGCCCCUACUCGGAAACCAGCUGGCUUUCUGAAUCUGCGUGGUCUCCAAAAUACUAGCCAUGAAGUGGUUAAAGAUGGGCACUCACCCUCCGUGCCUGCCACACGGGUACAGCCAGGAAGGGAUAUGUUGAUUACACAGAAGCUUUGAUGGCUUUUGUGUAUUGCCACAAAUAUGCUCUUACAAGAACAGACACUCGACAUUCGCUGAGUGUGCAAAACCACGGAGUGAGUCUUCUCAAAGUCUCAAGGUCUGUGUCCUACAUGUGAAUUUUGACGAAUUUCUUAAUGAGCCUGCGUUCCGUCACCUGUUCAACCCAGGCAAGCCUGCUCACCUAACUCGCCUUUAAAGGAUGUAAUAGUUAAAUGGUAGAGUUAGUGAAUUACUAAAGGGAGGUGAAAAAGAAGCCGAAAAGAACAUAGACACCUAGGUAUUCUAUUCUUAACGGAAAUAAUUUGAGUGUUCUGAAAGGGCAACCAGGUCCAAAAAGCAGGACAGGCUGCUUCCAGGAGGAAACUGGGAUCCCCUAAAAACAGAUCCCUGGAGCAAAGCUCACUGUGGGCAACCAGUCUUCUACAUUAACUGUUGGGAUGUGACUACUUCGUGUGUUGUUCACUUGCACUGUAACAUAUACACUGGAAUCUUAAUACUGUUGCUUUUCACAAGUAUGCACUGUUCCAGGCACGACUUCAUGUCAUUUCACUUAUUUUUGACAAAUACUCUGCACGGUAAAUACAAUAGGUUUGUUGGAAAUAGGUUGGACCUGGUUGAUAGUGUCAGGAAAUAGCUUUCUUUUUCUCCCUAUGGCCUUCACACUCAUUUGCCUCUUCCUUCCCCUGAUGGCAUAUUGGGGACAGUCUAUAGCUUCCUGGUCACUUGUAAGUAUUAAAAUGUCCAGUCCAAUUGAAAUCAAAAUUUAAUCUCAUAUCCAGUUCAGAGCUUCUCCCUUCUGCCCGGCUCAGGUGUAUCCAGAUGCUAAGGUACCAGAAAAGACAUAGAGCCUUUGAUCUGUUCUUCAACAAUCUUUGCUCCACGUCUUACCUGACUCGCCUAAUUGCCGAUGGAUAUUCCAAAGUUAGAGUAGUAAGAAGGAUGAGAGAUCUCGUGGCGGAUGCUGUUCUUGGUGUCCUUUUAGCUGUUGAAGGCCCUACAAAUAGUAGGAUCCAAAUGGUGGCUUUCAUUAGAGACCCUGACUUGGCAAGGCACUCUACUAACCUCUUGUGACUUCUCUCAGUGUCUGUACCUCGUGGUACCCCAGUCCAUUUGAGCAGAUAAGUUAAGCUGGCUGCUUUCCAUAGCAUUCACCUGGCCCUAGUAAAAUGCUUACAUACCUGCUUUGCCAUCGUGGGCAGCUUUCACGAGCCCCAGCCCCGACCUUCUCCAGGCAAGCACUAGGCACCAGUCUCUUAGCAACCAAUGCCAACAGAACAUAUUUGAAGAUCUCCCAAGAAUUCCACUAUGCUCCAAGACUGGACAGCUUGGGACCAGUCCCUGCAUCUCCACGUCCUACAAGCAUCCGGCCUGCCCUCUUCCAAUGAAUCCUCUCUCCAAGAUCAGUUAUCCUAGAUGUCCUCAUCUUGUUGUGCGUGAAUGGAAGCAAUGCCAUACCCAAUACUACUAGGCUCCUUGGAAGAAUUCAUUUUCUCUAAGGAAGCUUCUAGCCUUCCUAUAAACAAGCUAUUGGGAAUGUUGAUUUGGAUACAGACCAGGCAUUCUUGUGGAGAGGGGUCGAGGUCCUGUCUUUAGGACACACGGCUACUUACCUUUGUCCCCAUCUUUGAGGUUUCAGCCAAAACUUCGUCUUAGUAAACGUUGGCUAUUAUCCUUUUACCCACAAGGAACUGAACUGCAAAGAAAUUUGUUGCCAAAUGCCAGUAGUCACUCAACUUGUGAGAGCAGAAAUCAGAUCUGAACCCUGAUCUGUCCUUCUCCCUGCUCAGUCUUCCCUGUACUCCAAAGUUGCUAGAAGUUGCCUAGGACCAAGAAGAAGAGAUUACACUUAAUCCUAUUUUACAGAUGAGCCAACAAAGUCUCCAGAAAUUUAAGAGUCCACCUUGUAGACUAGUCAAAGUCCAUCUUGUGGUCGAGUCAAAGUUCCAGCAGGAAACAGGUGGCUCACACAAAGGAAGCAGCUCGAAAACAGUUUAAUAAUCAUUUAGAAAGAUGUGGGCAGCAUUAGGAAGCCACAGGAGAUAGUGCAGUUUUUCGGGACUAGUUAGCAGCAGGGCUAUUACCCUCGGGACGAAAAG